AUGCUUGUUUCAGUAUCACAUAUAUUGAAAUUGAAAUAAUACAGAAAAGAUCAACACGUUCCUUGUGUAAGGAGGACAUGGAAAUUUGUAAAGGGUUCCACAUUUUU
ensembl:snRNA U6 U6 spliceosomal RNA